CCUACGGGAGGCAGCAGUCGAGAAUCAUUCACAAUGGGGGAAACCCUGAUGGUGCGACGCCGCGUGGGGGAAUGAAGGUCUUCGGAUUGUAAACCCCUGUCAUGGGGGAGCAAAUUAAAAAGAUAGUACCACAAGAGGAAGAGACGGCUAACUCUGUGCCAGCAGCCGCGGUAAUACAGAGGUCUCAAGCGUUGUUCGGCAUCACUGGGCGUAAAGCGUGCGUAGGCUGUUUCGUAAGUCGGGUGUGAAAGGCGCGGGCUCAACCCGCGGACGGCACAUGAUACUGCGAGACUAGAGUAAGGGAGGGGGAACCGGAAUUCUCGGUGUAGCAGUGAAAUGCGUAGAUAUCGAGAGGAACACUCGUGGCGAAGGCGGGUUCCUGGACAUUAACUGACGCUGAGGCACGAAGGCCAGGGGAGCGAAAGGGAUUAGAUACCCCAGUAGUC
rnacentral:rRNA from 1 species